UAGGUGAGGCUACACCUUUUGUCAGUGAUUCUCCACCUGCCUUCCCUGGUGUUUAAUCUGUUGUGAGCUGCCUGGAGAGGAAAAGGUGGUGAGACUUCAGUGAGCAGUCGAUGAAAGAAUGAAGACUAUCACUCUUCAGGGCCAAAGGAAGCACAGCUGAAGAAAUAAUCUACUUUCAACUGUAUAGAAACAGGUGUUUUGUGAUCCAGCACUGUACCAGCGUGAAAGCAAAAAGAAAACAACAAACUGUGAGUACUGGGCAAACUAUCAUGGGAAUUUAAUACCAUUUAUUCUGAUGCUGAGAGGACACAAAUGCAAUUGAAUAUGGGCACAGUAAUUUUGUUUCUUUUCUGUGGAUUAUUAAGAGCAGAAACAAAGCUCAGCUGCUUAUGGAGAAUGAAUUAAUCUGAGAAAGUGCAGACAGAGGCACUUUCUCCUCAAGAAUAUUCAGUUAAAAAGUUUUACUGGGGGUUGAUCAAAUUGUAUGAUUUUAUUAUUCAUCUUUCUAUUUUAUUCGUUAUGAGAAGUUAUUGUUAUGUAGAACAGUUUGUGCGCCUUACUUAAUAAGAAUGAAUUAAAUUAACCUAUAUGGAAACAUGAGAUCUUGAUUUAACAUAGCACAGUAGUGUUGAUAUGAACAAAAGCUUAACAGCAGUGAGGUGUGCAAAGGAACUGUCUGUUAGAGAGCGUGCUGUUGGGUGAAAGCGUCUGCUAAUGGAAUUAAGCAGGCAGCAAGUUGCUGUGGAUGUGAAAGCAUACUGCUGGCAGUAGGGAAGGCUCUGCUUCAUGUUCCUUCCUCUUCCAGUCCAUUCCUACUUGUCUUCCCAUCUUUAAUCCUUAUGCUGGUAAGGUGAGCUGAUCACUCCCUCAU